UAAUUAUAUACAGCUUUCUAUAAACAUAUCAAAUAGUAAAUAUAUAUUCCUACAAAAUUUACCUUUUUUUUAUUUAUUUCUGCAAAAGUUAAGUAAUAUUUAUAUUUGUCCUUCGGGUAUGUUACCGUUAGAACGCUCUAUUUAUUUUUUAACAGAGUAUAAGUAAAAUGAUAUUUUUACCUUCUAAAAUGAUCCGCUAACAGUUCCCACCCUUAGGCGGAAUAGGGGUGGAAACAAACAGUUUCUACCCGUAUUUUGUUUAAAUUUAAAAUUUAAAAAUUUUAAUUUUAAUUUGAAAUUUUAAAUAUUUAUAACUUAUAAUUUUAAAAUUAAAGCUUAUAAUUUUAAAUUCUAAAUUUUGAAUUUUAAUUUGAUAUUUUAUAUUUUUUAAAUUUAAAAUUUCAUAUUUUAUAAUUUCUUAAAUUUAAAUUUUAAAAUCUAAAGCUUAAAAUUUAAAAUUUAAAAUUUAAAAUUUAAAAUUUAAAAUUUAAAAUUAAAAAUAUAAAAUGUAAGAUUUAAGAUAUUAAGAUUUUAAAAUUUAAAAUUUAUAAUUUAUAAUUUUGAAAUUUAUAAUUUAUAAUUUUGAAAUUUAAAAUUUGAGAGUUUAAUUUUAAAUUUUAAUUUCAGAUUUUAAAAUUUAAAAAUUAAAAUUUUUAAUUUUAAAAAAAUUAAAAUUUCAAAAUUCAAAUAUAACGAGAGAAAUAAUAUCAAUUUUCUACUUAUAACUUCCCACUAUUCUUCUUAUUCCAUAUUUUUUAUCCAAACGUUAUUUUUCUUACUCCUGGGAGCAACCAAUUUUCAUCCAAACACAAAAUCAAUCUAGUUCUUGCUUAUACCUAAACUUGUACCUAUUCCUGAAAUAAGCAGUUCUUACUUAUAUCUGAGCCAAACAAAACUUAUAGAAAUAUAUCUACUAUUCGAUAUGUUUACAGGAAACUGUAUGCAAUUAGCCCAAAUUUGUUAAAUCUAAGUCCCUUAAGUCUCAAGUUUAAAAUCUAAAUAUUUCAUAUUUUCAAUUAUAUAUAUAAUGAUUAUAAAUAAAUAUGUAUAUAGUUUUUUAUUAAAUAUAAUAGAGAGCACUAUAAUUAUAAAUAAUUUUUU
rnacentral:lncRNA from 1 species